rnacentral:tRNA from 1 species
GCUGCGAUGGUGCAGUGGUCUAGCAUGGAGGACUGUGGAUCCUCCGACUCGGGUUCAAAUCCCGAUCGCGGCC